UCCCCCCUAGAGCGAAGGUCGCUACGCC
rnacentral:sRNA from 1 species